rnacentral:rRNA from 1 species
AUGCAAGUCGAAUGCCGAUUUAUCGGCAUGGCAGACGGCUGAGUAACACAUGGGAAUCUACCUCAAACUCGAGAAUAGCCCAUCGAAGGGUGGUGUAUACUCGAUAGUUCCGUUUACGGUAAAGCUCCGGCGGUUUGAGAUGAGCCCAUGUCCUAUCAGGUUGUUGGUGGGGUAAUUGCCUACCAAGCCUAUGACGGGUAGCUGGUUUGAGAGGAUGAUCAGCCAGACUGGGACUGCGAUACGGCCCAGACUCCUACGGGAGGCAGCAACUAGGAAUCAUGCGCAAUGGACGAAAGUCUGACGCUGCGACGUCGCGUGAGGGAUGAAGGUCUUAGGAUCGUAAACCUCUUUUAUCUGGGAACAAGUUCUGAGUGUACCAGAUGAAUAAGUGCCUGCCAACCACGUGCCAGAAGCAUCGGUAAUGCGUGGGGCACGAGCGUUAUCCGGAUUUACUGGGCGUAAAGAGAUGCGUAGGCGCCUUUUUAAGUCACUUGUAAAAUCUCCCCGCUCAACGGGGAAACUGCAAGUGAUACUGAAUUGGUUGAGUCAAGUAGAGGAGAGGGGAAUUCCUGGUGGAGCGGUUAAAUGCGUUGAUAUCAGGAGGAAUACCAAGUGCGAAGGCACCUCUCUGGACUUGUACUGACGCUAAGGCUCGAAAGUGUGGGGAGCAAAACGGAUUAGAUACCCGUGUAGUCCACACUGUAAACGAUCCCUGCUAGAUGUU